rnacentral:lncRNA from 1 species
UCAAGAUCAAGAAUAAUUAAUAUACAUAAAAUUGAUGAGAUCACCAUAUUUGAUUAUACUAUAGUGAUUCUAUAUAACAGUAAUUUCAAAUUAUCUUCACUCUUCAAAUCACCCCCCAACCUAAUGAUGGGAUACCUAUCCUUGAGGUUAGGAAUCCAAGAUCACCCCUCAAGUAGUAAUCUUGGACUAAAAUAUAAGGACAA